rnacentral:rRNA from 1 species
UUACGGCCACAUCAUGUUAAAACACCAGUUCCCAUAGGAUCACCAAAGUUAAGCAAUGUCAAGCCAGGUCAGUACCUAGAUGAGUAACCACUUGGAAAUACCAAGUGCUGUAAG